rnacentral:misc_RNA from 1 species
AUUGCCAUGUAAAAAAAAGUUACAUGUCAAAUUGGAAUGUCAUUGUCAAUGUCAAACGAAAUUGAAUUCAGCUGUACUGCGAAGGGUUGUUCUUUUGUGUGAAUUGUGAUAACUUUUGUUGAUAAAGUACUGCAGAUUCCCAAUUUUCCACAUUGCUGGUGCUCUGCUUGAGUGUGGUAAAAUGCAGAGUGUUAUUAACUCGGUGAAGGGCACCGCACUUGGAGUCGCAGGCUACUUGACGCCGGUGUUGAAGGAGUCAAAAUUCCAAGAGACAGGAGUGCUAACUCCCGAGGAGUUUGUGGCUGCGGGAGACCACUUGGUGCACCACUGUCCAACCUGGCAGUGGGCUAAGGGUGAAGACGCUAAGAUCCGGCCGUACCUGCCUGGUGAUAAGCAGUUCCUUAUCACUAGGAAUGUGCCCUGCUAUAGGAGGUGUAAACAGAUAGAAUACUGUGAGGACAAAGAGAAAGUGAUAGAGAAUGAAAAUGAUGAAGACGGCGGCUGGGUGGACACACACCACUAUGACAAUGCUGGAUCACCCACUGUUGAAGAGAAGGUAUGCGAGAUGACACUGGACGCGGCUGACACGGGCGACAGCGAUGGCGAGGGCGCGGCGGGUGAUCGCGAUGAUGAUGAUGACGAUGAAGAUGAUGAGGACGGAGAGGCCGAAGACAUGGAGCAGUUCCAGGAGUCGGGGCUGCUGGAUGAGGUGGAUCCGUCCACAGACCUAGCGCCGCGCAAAGAACCCAAAGCGAAGUCGGACAAGAAGUCGAAGUCGGACGGCGACGAGAUCAUCCGCACGCGGACUUACGACCUACACAUCACGUACGACAAAUACUACCAGACGCCGCGACUCUGGCUUAUCGGAUACGACGAGGAUCGCACCCUACUGAGCGUGGAGCAGAUGUACGAAGACGUGUCUCAGGACCACGCCAAGAAGACCGUCACCAUGGAGUCGCACCCGCACCUGUCUGGGCCCAGCAUGGCGUCUGUACACCCUUGUCGUCAUGCAGAAGUAAUGAAGAAGAUAAUAGAGACGGUGACAGAGAGCGGCGGCGAGAUGGGCGUGCACUCCUACCUCAUCGUGUUCCUGAAGUUCGUGCAGACCGUCAUCCCCACCAUCGAGUACGACUUCACGCAGAACUUUGCCAUCAACUAGUCGGAGAAGCGCCACACACGCGCCGGCACGCAGUGCUCUACCCGCGACCUGCCCGCACACAUCGCACCUGACACAUCCUGGCGACGUCACAUGCUUGGCGACCUUUCAUAUUUUACUCACAUAUUCUAGCGACCGUGUGUCGGCGUCCGGCUGUAUCCUAGCAACGUUGUGUCGAUGACGUAUUUACUUUCUUUCUGUAGGACUCAUAAGGAUUGGAUAAGGAUUUGCGAAUUACGCAAUAAGGCGCUUGGCGUGUCAAUGGAUUGAACAAAAAGUUGGACAAAACAAUGAUGGUUUCAGUUUAAAUUUUAAUAGUCUGCCACAUGAGUUGCCAUGCUUUAUAUGAGAGUCGGUGGUUUGGUUUCGUAUGUAGAGUGCCUUAGCAAUAUUUUUGGAUACAAUAGAAUUUGCUUAUAGCAGACAAAAGUUAGAAAUGAACGUUCCAGUUGUCUUUUAAGGAAUAGAGACGUCUUCAUUAAUGGAAUUAUGUAAACCUCAUCCAAUCAAAACUACAGCGCUAAAUGCGAAUUCUAUUGUUAUAAAAAUAACUGGUCUGAAAACAUGAGACAAUUUAGCAACAAAAAUAAUUAGCAGACUACUUUGCGUGUACAAUAAUUAAAACUAAAAAAAAAACUCCUUUUACAUCGAUAUUAAGCUAUGAAUAGGAAACAAAAUACUGCCGCGUCUUUAUAAUAUUAUAUUAUCGUACGAUAUCGUAGUGUAGGCCCGUACGAUUUAGUCGAUACUUUGCUAUUCGAUAUAUCGAUGUCGUAAAUUAUUGUGAUUAUAAAAUUUACAAAUUGGAGAUGUUUUUAAUCAUAGCUAUAUUUGUACAAUAUAAUUGAAUGGAGUUUAUUUUUAACCGAAAAUUAAUAUUUUAUCUGAGCCAGUGCAAUAACAGUGAAUGAUUGUAUCAAUAGCUUUAAUUGCCGCAUUUGUUUGUUUACAAAUAUUUUUAAGUAACUUGCCUGUGGCCUUGCCUGUACUUUAUCAUGCAUUCAUGUUCUCUUCAUUGGCUUUAUGAUCAUGUCACUUCAACAUCUAUGAUAAAAUAUGUGUGUGCUAUAUUUUAAGGAAAUGACAUGGCCAUGUAUGAAGUAUCAAAACUUUCACCACAUUCGUCUUCUUAAAGCAAUACUUUGUAGUAAUACACCAUAUCAUAAAAAUAUAGUGUAAAUCUUCCAAUAGUUUCACCUUUCACGACAAAUACCCAUAGUUAGAAGUUUAACACACCUGAUAAUGAAUUUUAUAAAUAAAUGCCUUAUGAAGCGAAGUCGACAAAUUCCCAAUACAUUUAAAAACUGGCACAAAUCAAAUAGUUUGUACAAACAGUUGAUUGUUGGGAACAUUCCUAUGUUAGCGCCAUAGUUUAGAGAUAAUUAAUACUAAUCAUAUAUGAAUUAGUUAGCGAGUAUUGCCAGAAUCAAUUACCUCUGGAUAAGUGCCCGUUAAGCUUAUAUUGCAAAUAAUCUAGUUGUAGUAAGACAGGCGCUUCCUGUUUGUUAUCAUUCGUAGCUUUUAUACCGACUGACAAAUGUAUUGUUUAUGAUAAUGCACCUUCUGAUAAUAAUUUGGAACGAUGUAAUUAGUUUGAAAUUGUUUCGUAUAAGCUUAUUGGAAAUGCUUUCAUAUCACAAAUGCACAUCAGAAUGUAUUGAAAUUUUUUAAAUUAUACUUUCUUCAUCAAGUUUCUAUGAAUGACAGGAGAAACUUAGGGCCGAGACACACCGGAAAGGCAGCUGACAAGACACGCGUUGCUCGCGACCAUAUCAAGUUUUUAAAACGAUAUACUGGACUGCUAGCCGCUGCCAUUCCGGAGUGACGCGGCCCUUAGAAUAAAAAUGCGCCCGUCGAUCAUACACGCUGUCAUUCUUGGAGGCUAAUGUAUACACCCAAACGUUAUUAAUUUAUUUAGAACAACCAUUUUCAGACAUUAUUUUAAGUUAUGUUAUUCAAAUUUUCGUAUAACUUUUGUGUAAUAUUAUUUUAUAGUUACAUACUUGUAUGGUUAGGUAAAUAAUUGUUAUUUUACAUGUAAAUGCACUAUUCGGUUUAUUUUUUAUAUAAUAUAACAUAUUUUGCCUA